rnacentral:lncRNA from 1 species
UAGAUUAACCCAAUAAAUUUCAUUCACUCCGCAUACUCAAUCCUAUAGACACCCUUUUAAUCCUUCAAUCACAGACGUAACUCGAUUUCACAAAACAAUCAAGAGUAUUCAAACCCACUUCAUUAAAAAUCCCGAUUCACCAUUACAAUACUGACUUCAGUAGCGAUUGCCUCAGUCUUUCCAAAACUCUACGAAGAAGAAAAAUCCAAAUUCUAUGUCUUUCCUUC